rnacentral:lncRNA from 1 species
GCCAACUAGAAAGAAGAAAUAUCAAUAUCAUUUCAUAACAGCAAGUACAAUAAUAAUUAUGAUAACAAUAGCAAAGUACAUAAUAUUGGGAAAAUGAUACGUGUAAAGUAUCUAUCACACGCAGAGGUCACCACUUUUUCAACAUAACAAAAUGGUAAAACCAUGCAAUUUUAUUGCUAGAAAUUACUAAAAUCCCAUAACCCAAUUAUGUGCAAAGAAAAUAACGUUUCUUUUACCCAUUUUCAACCUCCACGACCAUGCCCGUUCCCCGACCCGGAUCCGGACCCACUUCCAUACCCGGAACCGCCGCCGGAAGCACCUCCGCCACCGCCUCCACCGCCGCCUCCGCCUCCUCCUCCUCCACCGCCUCCUCCGCCGCCAUUCUUUCCGCCUCCACUACCAUAUCCCGACCCACUACCGGAGCCGUAUCCCGAACCGCUCCCCGACCCAUUGGCCGAGCCACCACCGCCUCCGCCGCCACCUCCUUNUAUCCCGACCCGUAACCCGACCCAUACCCUGACCCGUAUCCCGAUCCGGAACCACUAGCACCACCUCCACUACCACCUCCGCCGCCUCCGCCACUUCCGCCGCCACCUCCGCCAGCAUUCCCAUAAUAUUCACCCUCGUCAUCAUAGCCACCGUAUCCCGAGCCACUCCCGGAGCCAUAUCCCGACCCAUACCCCGAACCCGAACCAAGCGCCGACCCUCCUCCCCCACCUCCUCCUCCUCCUUCACCACCUCCGCCGCCGCCUCCGGCCUUAACACUCUUCCCGAGCCUAGCUCCGAAGGCAAUGUCCGCAAACAGCAUUACUAAUAAUGCUGCAGCCAAAAUUUCGGAAUUACGUGCCAUUUUUCAAAAACUUGAAAAAAAAAAAGCACGAGUUUGUAACUAUAUUAUACUGUAAUAAAACGCUAUUUUCUUUUUUAAUCACUCUUGUAGCUAGGAGUUUGUAUUGUUUUUUAAUGAUGAUGAAUUACGUUGAAGCAUGAUCCCUAUUUAUAGGAGUGGGAAAUCCAAUUUUUUCCAAAAAGUUGCAUGGCUU